rnacentral:rRNA from 1 species
UGACGGUAUUCAACCAGAAAGUCACGGCUAACUACGUGCCAGCAGCCGCGGUAAUACGUAGGUGGCAAGCGUUAUCCGGAUUUAUUGGGCGUAAAGAGAGUGCAGGCGGUUUCUUAAGUCUGAUGUGAAAGCCUUCGGCUCAACCGAAGAAGUGCAUCGGAAACUGGGAAACUUGAGUACAGAAGAGGAGAGUGGAACUCCAUGUGUAGCGGUGAAAUGCGUAGAUAUAUGGAAGAACACCAGUGGCGAAAGCGGCUCUCUGGUCUGUAACUGACGCUGAGGUUCGAAAGCGUGGGUAGCAAACAGGAUUAGAUACCCUG